rnacentral:rRNA from 1 species
GAUGAACGCUGGCGGCGUGCUUAACACAUGCAAGUCGAGCGAAGCACUUUAUUUGAUUUCCUUCGGGACUGAUUAUUUUGUGACUGAGUGGCGGACGGGUGAGUAACGCGUGGGUAACCUGCCUUGUACAGGGGGAUAACAGUUGGAAACGGCUGCUAAUACCGCAUAAGCGCACGGCAUCGCAUGAUGCAGUGUGAAAAACUCCGGUGGUAUAAGAUGGACCCGCGUUGGAUUAGCUAGUUGGUGAGGUAACGGCCCACCAAGGCGACGAUCCAUAGCCGACCUGAGAGGGUGACCGGCCACAUUGGGACUGAGACACGGCCCAAACUCCUACGGGAGGCAGCAGUGGGGAAUAUUGCACAAUGGGCGAAAGCCUGAUGCAGCGACGCCGCGUGAGCGAAGAAGUAUUUCGGUAUGUAAAGCUCUAUCAGCAGGGAAGAUAAUGACGG